AUGUCCUUCUCCCGUGCCUACCCAGUCGCCUUCUCGUGGCUCACCAGCCUUACACUAAAGCGCCUUGCGUUUGGCCCUUCCGACGUCACCGAGCUCAUUAGCGCUUGCGGUAGGCUUAGGCACCUCACCCUGAGACUCUGCAGACUGAUUGAUCCACGCUCCACACUCAAGAUUGACGUGCCGUGCUCUGGGAUCCAGGAGCUCGAGUUCUUUGGCUUUGGGUGCACACAGAUCGAGCUCAUUUCUGCACCCAAGCUUAUGCAAGUGUGGUGCCAAAAUUGGCUCUUCAAGAACCCUCCAGUGUGCUUCGGCUACGUUCCUGAGCUUCGCGUUGUAAGACUCCUUUCUAAAGCCGUGGCAUGGCACACGUCAUUCACGAUGAGCGAGUGCCUGUCAAAGAGUGCAACGAACCUGUCGAAAUUGCAUCUUGAUUUCCUCCACCAAAUGAUUUGGAUUCAGCCAGAACAUCCGAAGCAGCUCACUGCUAUAUUCAGAAACCUCACCUCUGUGUUUCUUUUGGGUAUCUUCAAUGAGUGUGAUCUGAGCUGGACACUAUUUUUCCUUGAAGCUGCACCUGCCCUACAUAAUAUCGCAUUAUCUCGACAUUUUUGUAUCAUGACGCUCGAGAACAGUGCCGAGAAGACCAAUGUGGCGUGGAAGCCAUCCAAAGAUUUGAAGCACCUGAACUUGAAGGUGCUGCUGAUCUUUGGGUGUGAGGAUGAAUAUAAGGUGACAAACUAUAUAAGGCUUGUCAUGGGAUGGGCUGUGGGCUUGAACAGUAUCGUGCUGAAUGGUGAAUACCCAUGCGAGGACUGCAAUGCAACUGACCUUGAAAGGUCCAAGCUGGGUAAAGCAUCCAAGGUGGGUGAAGCUAGCAGACGUCGGAUUAAGGAGAAUGCUAGUAGUCUCAUA
rnacentral:rRNA from 1 species